rnacentral:rRNA from 1 species
UACGUAGGGUGCGAGCGUUGUCCGGAAUUAUUGGGCGUAAAGAGCUCGUAGGCGGUUUGUUUAGUCAGGUGUGAAAUCUCCACGCUCAACGUGGAGGGGCCACCUGAUACUGCCAUGACUUGAGUCCGGUAGGGGAGUGUGGAAUUCCCGGUGUAGCGGUGAAAUGCGCAGAUAUCGGGAGGAACACCCGUAGCGAAGGCGGCACUCUGGGCCGUGACUGACGCUGAGGAGCGAAAGCGUGGGGAGCAAACAGG